GGGUGUUUCAUCAACUAAAAUCGAUUUCGAUUUUAAAAAUCAAUUUUAAGGCCGAAUCAGUUUUAGCUUAAAACCGAUACGUGUGAGCUGUUUCAUCAAAUCGAUUUUAAGCUAAAAUAGAUUUUUAGGUGUCUGCAAUCAAGGCUAGUCAAUUUGGGGUAAAUCGAUCACAAAAUUGCUUGCUAAACUACUGCCAGAGAGUCCUUGAAAAAGUUGCAAAAUAAAGAGCUAUGGCAUCUUCAUGUACUGCUAGUUCAUGACAUAUGGACUUUUAUUGUCCAUCUCUUCAAAUUGAAAAGACUGCAGAGCCUGAAUUACCUGCAACGUUAUGCUUCCUAUGAAACAUCAGCCAGCCCACAGAUAGAAGCUCCCUUUUCCAGCUUUAAGCAAGAGAGACCACAAUGAGACACAGAUCUUGAUAUCAUGGACUGGUCACUUUUACAACCAACACUAUUUGUAAAAUAAGAUUUACAAAUUAAUUCCUAAGCUAUUUCAAAGCUGAUAGAAAAGAAUUGAUGAUUAAUUUCAUAUAGACAAACUAUUGUAUCAAGAAAAUCACAUUCUCACCGACUGCGUGACCUAGCUAGAUGACAAUGUAUAUCAUCCAUAGCUUAACAAACAUACGAGUAACAGAAAUAUUUGUGACAAGUAUUACUCUUUUAAUCUCCUUAAAAGUAACUCGAAUAGAGAGUGGCAGAUAUCAGCUGCAGUAGUUUUAACAACUGGCUGAUACUUUCAUUGUAGCACUUUCAUUUAUGUCUUUUAAAAUGUUCUUAUUGUAUCCCUUGAAUGUAUUUGCUAUGCUCAUCAUUUACAACACGUAGAUUUCAUUCAUUAAAGCAUAAGCAUAUUGAUUAGACAUUAAAAUCUGUGUUAAUUUUA